AGAUCUCCGGGGAGGCGUAGGGACGUGCCGUAUACCAUCUCGGCGACGGCGCAGCCUAUGUCAGGUUUGAAAGUGGAACGGAUCCCCAGGAGCGCGAGCGGUAUGACUUCUGGCCAUGGUGUUUCGGGCUUAGGCUGAAGCACUGCUGUCGGGGUCGGCGUGAAAAUUUGUCGGCGGGUAUGACGCUUACUUCCGCGCCCGUAUCAACGAGGAAGCGCAUCCCGGUGGUACGGUCAAUGAUGUGGAAAAGGCGGCUGCUGGUGGACUCGGGCGCGCUUGUCGUGGAAAGGGUUUUCGGCUGUCGCGACCACGAGCAAGGUAGGGGGCAGCGUUGUGCAUCGGCGCCGAAACGGUGGUGGUAGCGACAAAGUCUGCUGGAGGUUCGGGAGCAGGAACGCGCAGGAACCGAUGGGGAGUCUGCGCGAUGGUCAGCGCGGCAGGAAGUUGAUGAUCUUGGCGGCAUAAAAGGUUUGUGACCAGCUGGGUAAGGUGACGAACCUGCUGAGACAAGGCAUAGGCGGAGCUUUCGAAGCUGACCUGGGAAACAGGCGGAGCGGGCAGUUCCGAGAAGCCGGAGGAAUUGACGACUGCCAUGUCCAGGUCCGUCAGGUAUUAUCCAAGGCUGUCCGAAGCAAAGGAGCCCCACUCACAAACUGCUGGGGGUUCAUUGAUGGCACGGCACGUGCUAUUUGCAGGCCUUCAGAAGACCAGAAGAUUUACUUCUUUGGGCAUAAGCGCUACCAUGCAUUAAAAUAUCAGUCUGUUAUGUGUCCAAAUGGGCUGAUCGUGCGCCUGGAUGGCCGCAAGCACGAUGCUGGCAUCCUCCGAGCAAGUGGGCUAUACGGUGAUUUGGAGAAACUGAUGGAUCGGAUGGAAGGCCACUACGUGUUAUAUGGGGACCCAGCGUACCCCAUGCUGCACCUGCUACAACGGCCUUACGUCAGUGCGUCUGUCUCUCCUCAGCAGAAGGACUUUAACAAGGCAAUGAGCACAGCGAGGCAGUGUGUUGAGUGGGGGUUCGGUAAAAUAAUAGCCGAAUUCGCCUUUCUAGACUUCAAAAAAAAAAUUAAAAGAAAUUGAGGUUACAGCAAGUCGCAAAGAUGUACAAGGCAGUUACCAUCUUGUGUAACUGUCAUACGUGCCUGUACGGCAGCCAGACAACCCAGUACUUUGGGGUGGCGCCACCAACACUAGAAGAAUACCUUGUGCCUCGACAGUAGAGUAUGUAACAGGUGCUGCACAAUUUCAUGGUGUGCAGGAAAGGUCAUGACUGCUAGCCCUCAAAUAACAAGGAACAAAGAGCCUCGACACACUCAGCAAACAUUUACAACAAACGCACAAGCAUUUAUUUUGUGUAUGUCAGCAAUUAACUUGCACCACAAUUACGUAUGCUGUCCCGGUUCGCAGCACUUGGCACACCUCUGUGCGAUGAUGUGCCUUAUCAGUGUUUCCAUUGAUUCUGCCUGACGCCUUUCAGAAUCCCACCUGUUGCGUCACUCUUCCUCUGCCCUCUCCCUCUCCCACAAUUUCUGUCGCCGUUCUUCCUCGAAUUUUUCCCUCUCCAGUGCCAACUUUGCCUCUUCUAAGUGGAGUCUCUUCUCUUGCAAUUGGAAGUUGUAUCUUAGUUAUACCUCUUCUCUUGCGGCCCUCUGACAUAGGUACUCCAAACCUGGCCCACACCUUUUCCUUCGUCCUGUAAGAAAGUGGAA